GCCGAAGUGGUGGAACUGGUAGACACGCCAUCUUGAGGGGGUGGUGAGGGUUUCCUUGUGGGGGUUCAAGUCCCCCCUUCGGCA
rnacentral:tRNA from 1 species